UACAGAGGUCCCAAGCGUUGUUCGGAUUCAUUGGGCGUAAAGGGUGUGUAGGUGGCGCCGUAAGUCGGGUGUGAAAUCUCGGGGCUUAACUCCGAAACUGCAUUCGAUACUGCGGUGCUUGAGGACUGGAGAGGAGACUGGAAUUCAUGGUGUAGCAGUGAAAUGCAUAGAGAUCAUGAGGAAGACCAGUGGCGAAGGCGGGUCUCUGGACAGUUCCUGACACUGAGACACGAAGGCCAGGGGAGCAAACGGG
rnacentral:rRNA from 1 species